rnacentral:rRNA from 1 species
AUCACCGCCCCGGUGGGCCCCAAAAUCAGUGGCGGAGCCGUUCGGUUUCCAGCGUAGUAAAUCUCUCGCUGUGGAGUCGCGACNNCCCCGCCAGCANCCACCAAAUUUUACAAGGUUGACCUCGGAUCAGGUAGGGAUACCCGCUGAACUUAAGCAUAUCAAUAAGCGGAGGAAAAGAAACCAACAGGGAUUGCCUCAGUAACGGCGAGUGAAGCGGCAACAGCUCAAAUUUGAAAUCUGGCCUCGCGGUCCGAGUUGUAAUUUGUAGAGGAUGCUUCGGGCGUGGUCCGGUCUAAGUCCCUUGGAAUAGGGCAUCACAGAGGGUGAGAAUCCCGUACGUGACCGGGUGCCUAGGUCCAUGUGAAGCUCCUUCAACGAGUCGAGUUGUUUGGGAAUGCAGCUCUAAAUGGGUGGUAAAUUUCAUCUAAAGCUAAAUAUUGGCCAGAGACCGAUAGCGCACAAGUAGAGUGAUCGAAAGAUGAAAAGCACUUUGGAAAGAGAGUUAAACAGUACGUGAAAUUGUUGAAAGGGAAACGCUUGCAACCAGACUUGCAUUUAGUUGAUCAUCCGAUGUUCUCACCGGUGCACUCAGCUAGAUUCAGGCCAGCAUCGGUUUUGGUGGUUAGAUAAAGGCCCUAGGAAUGUAGCUUCCCCCGGGGAGUGUUAUAGCCUAGAGCGCAAUGUAGCCUACCAGGACCGAGGACCGCGCUUUGGCUAGGAUGCUGGCGUAAUGGUUGUAAGCGACC